rnacentral:rRNA from 1 species
CCUACGGGUGGCAGCAGUGGGGAAUAUUGGACAAUGGGGGGAACCCUGAUCCAGCCAUGCCGCGUGUGUGAAGAAGGCCCUCGGGUUGUAAAGCACUUUCAGUGAGGAAGAACGCCUGGUGGUUAAUACCCAUCAGGAAAGACAUCACUCACAGAAGAAGCACCGGCUAACUCCGUGCCAGCAGCCGCGGUAAUACGGAGGGUGCGAGCGUUAAUCGGAAUUACUGGGCGUAAAGCGUGCGUAGGUGGCUUGAUAAGCCGGUUGUGAAAGCCCCGGGCUCAACCUGGGAACGGCAUCCGGAACUGUCAAGCUAGAGUGCAGGAGAGGAAGGUAGAAUUCCCGGUGUAGCGGUGAAAUGCGUAGAGAUCGGGAGGAAUACCAGUGGCGAAGGCGGCCUUCUGGACUGACACUGACACUGAGGUGCGAAAGCGUGGGUAGCAAACAGGAUUAGAUACCCCUGUAGUC